rnacentral:rRNA from 1 species
UACGUAGGGGGCAAGCGUUGUCCGGAAUCAUUGGGCGUAAAGAGCGUGUAGGCGGUUCGGUAAGUCGGCUGUGAAAGUCCAGGGCUCAACCCUGGGAUGCCCGGUCGAUACUGCCGGACUAGAGUUCGGAAGAGGCGAGUGGAAUUCCCGGUGUAGCGGUGAAAUGCGCAGAUAUCAGGAGGAACACCGGUGGCGGAAGGC